AGAGUUUGAUCCUGGCUCAGAUUGAACGCUGGCGGCAUGCUUUACACAUGCAAGUCGAACGGUAACAGGUCUUCGGAUGCUGACGAGUGGCGAACGGGUGAGUAAUGCAUCGGAACGUGCCCAGUCGUGGGGGAUAACGCAGCGAAAGCUGUGCUAAUACCGCAUACGAUCUAUGGAUGAAAGCGGGGGAUCGCAAGACCUCGCGCGAUUGGAGCGGCCGAUGUCAGAUUAGCUAGUUGGUGGGGUAAAGGCCCACCAAGGCGACGAUCUGUAGCUGGUCUGAGAGGACGACCAGCCACACUGGGACUGAGACACGGCCCAGACUCCUACGGGAGGCAGCAGUGGGGAAUUUUGGACAAUGGGCGCAAGCCUGAUCCAGCAAUGCCGCGUGCAGGAAGAAGGCCUUCGGGUUGUAAACUGCUUUUGUACGGAACG
rnacentral:rRNA from 1 species